CCGUCCCGUCCCGUUUCCGGAAUUUCCCGAAAGCCUACGCCGUCGCGGUACACCCGAUGUUAAAAUACGCGUCGUAUGCGCGGCGGAACCGGUGGCGUUACCGAUUGCUCGACAUGAACGCCUAUUAUUGCCCGUCCGUUUGCCCGGACACGAUACGGUCAGUGGCGUGCGCACCACGCCGAGGCCGAGGGUUAAAUUACUUACUCGUACCCGACGACGACGCGAACAUGCAUUCCGCGUUAAAAACCGAGCGUUUCUGUGUCGUAUACUGACGGGGGACGAACCGCAUAGAGAACAGUAAAGAAGUGCUUUAGUCGAGCGACACAAAGAGCCGAUAAACUAGGGCGUCCCAAUGUCUGGGUUUAGGUCUUGAAACUCAUCGACAGAACGA